rnacentral:rRNA from 1 species
CGCCCGUUGGGGUAGCUCCUUUAUCGUUAGUCGAACGCUGAAGCCCGCAGCUUGCUUCUGGUGGAUGAGUGGCGAACGGGUGAGUAACACGUGAGUAACCUGCCCCUGAUUUCGGGAUAAGCCUGGGAAACUGGGUCUAAUACCGGAUACGACCAACCCUCGCAUGAGGGUUGGUGGAAAGUUUUUCGAUCGGGGAUGGGCUCGCGGCCUAUCAGCUUGUUGGUGGGGUAAUGGCCUACCAAGGCGACGACGGGUAGCCGGCCUGAGAGGGCGACCGGCCACACUGGGACUGAGACACGGCCCAGACUCCUACGGGAGGCAGCAGUGGGGAAUAUUGCACAAUGGGGGAAACCCUGAUGCAGCGACGCAGCGUGCGGGAUGACGGCCUUCGGGUUGUAAACCGCUUUCAGCAGGGAAGAAGCGAAAGUGACGGUACCUGCAGAAGAAGUACCGGCUAACUACGUGCCAGCAGCCGCGGUAAUACGUAGGGUACGAGCGUUGUCCGGAAUUAUUGGGCGUAAAGAGCUCGUAGGUGGUUGGUCACGUCUGCUGUGGAAACGCAACGCUUAACGUUGCGCGUGCAGUGGGUACGGGCUGACUAGAGUGCAGUAGGGGAGUCUGGAAUUCCUGGUGUAGCGGUGAAAUGCGCAGAUAUCAGGAGGAACACCGGUGGCGAAGGCGGGACUCUGGGCUGUAACUGACACUGAGGAGCGAAAGCAUGGGGAGCGAACAGGAUUAGAUACCCUGGUAGUCCAUGCCGUAAACGUUGGGCACUAGGUGUGGGGGACAUUCCACGUUCU